UACAGAGGGUGCGAGCGUUGUUCGGAAUUAUUGGGCGUAAAGCGCUUGUAGGCGGCUUGUUAAGUCCUGUGUGAAAGCCCUUGGCUUAACCAAGGAAGUGCGCAGGAAACUGGCGAGCUUGAGUGCCGGAGAGGGUCGCGGAAUUCCCGGUGUAGAGGUGAAAUUCGUAGAUAUCAGGAGGAACACCAGUGGCGAAGGCGGCUUCCUGGACACUAACUGACGCUGAGACGCGAAAGCGUGGGGAGCAAACAGG
rnacentral:rRNA from 1 species